rnacentral:rRNA from 1 species
AGCAGUAGCCGCGGGAAUACGAACCGUGCGAACGUUAUUCGGAAUCACUGGGCUUAAAGCGCGUGUAGGCGGAUGGGAGCGUCGGCCUCUGAAAUCCCCCGGCUCAACCGGGGAAGUGGAGCCGAAACGACCCGUCUGGAGGGACGUAGGGGGACCUGGAACUUCCGGUGGAGCGGUGAAAUGCGUUGAGAUCGGAAGGAACGCCCGUGGCGAAAGCGAGGUCCUGGACGUCUGCUGACGCUGAGACGCGAAAGCCAGGGGAGCGAACGGGAUUAGAUACCCCCGUAGUCCCUGUCUCUUAUA